UGUUUGCAUAGUGUGUGUAUAUAAUGCAGUGUGUUUGUAUAGUGUGUGUGUAUAUAAUGCAGUGUGUUUGUAUAGUGUGCAUUAUAUAAACACUACACAAACACACUGCAUUAUAUACACACACUAUGCAAAC